rnacentral:lncRNA from 1 species
AGUUGAACAACAGGGGUCGGGACAUCCACGAAACCCCAAAAUAAUUUAAUAAUAAAUGUGGGAUUAUGCUAUGAGAUGCAAUAAUUAAAUUCCACAAAAUUGAAACAUAUAAACACAUAACCAAUUUAAACAGUUAGUAAAAUGAUAAAUUCAAACAUUUGGUUAGAACCUAGGAAAAAUUUCCCAGCGGAGUCGUCAUUUCUGUUUUGCAAAAAUUUUGACUUUUAGAGAGUCACAACUUAAUUUUGAAAAGGAAUUGAAAAACCUUUGUAAAGUACUUAGAUGAUUCAAAACAGAAAAAUCAUUUAAGUUGAAAUUCUAGGUAAGGGGUUCCUAUUAACGUUUUAGGAAGGUUUUAAGGCACCUAAACCAUCCGCUAACUUGCGAUUAUCCGAACUAUAUAAAAAUAUCUUUUGACUAACUUCAAAAAGAUUGAUUGUCGAAAAAUAAUUGAUUUUAGAAAAAGACUUGUGUAAAAUAGAUUUGGACGACUUAGUAGGGAUUUUAACUAAAUCUAAGCAAAUAAAAAGCAAAUGGCAUGUAAAAGGGGAGGGAAACUUAUUGGGCCCAAACCAACGAAGCCUGUCCUAAUCUAAUUGGGAUUUUGGCCCACUUGCACCUGUCCAAAUCUAAAUAUUGGGUAUUGGCUCAUAACCUGUCCGAAGCUAUUUUUUGCAGGACCGUUAGCCCAAAAUCUUCUUCUCCUGUAUUGAAUUUACAACUUUGACUUUGAGACCCAAAUAAAUGAACCGAUAAAUACAUAACGAAAUAAAUAAAUAAAACAAAAUACAAAUUUAAUGAUUUAUCAUCAAUGGAUUUUGACCCUUUCUCUUCUUCCAUCUUGUUGCCUUGGUUAUGUCGCAGAACCGAUGUUAAACUCCAAAAUCAACUCGCAAAAGUGGCCUCAUUGGCCACGAUGACCAUACAAAGAGAAAGAGUCCAUGUAGGACUCCCCAAGAAUUACAUGAAACAUAUAAACGAGAAGAAAUUAGUAAUUAUCCAAAUAAUCCUAACACAUAACUUAGGAAGGAAAACUAAUCACAUAUUCACUUACUUGAUAAUAUGAUAAAGAAGAGGAAAACACGAAUUCUUAAAACAAAGACGUUCUUUGACUACUUAGAAAGUUUUUAUGUUAAUGUUAUAAUGCUGCAGACUUGGAACCAAACCAGAGAUAAUCAACAUAUCAGGAAAAUAACUAUACAGACUCAUCAUAUGCGAAACUAGGCCGAAUAUAUAGUGAGAUGGACCAUUCAUUAGCACAUAAAUGAGUGCAUCUAAGGGAAAAGAAAAUGUUGUCCCAAAAAAGUUAUAUUUUAAGUAAUUACUACUUUCAGGAAUCUAUAUUUCAGCAUAGAUACAAAUUGAGGAAAUGGGAUUUUGGUUGGGCUUAGGCUACCCAAAAAAGCAUAACUCUCAUGAUAAGGCAAAUGGAGUAUUCCCAAAACAUGGAUUUGACCUCUAUCCUUAAACACAUUCAUGAAUUUCAUCCAAAUGAGGCAAAAGCAUACCAUAAAAAGAUUGCUAAAGUCAUUUUACCGAACAAUUCACAUAGUAAGUUUUGAGAAAUAAAUACAACUAAAAAUUAAUUGUUAAAAAAAACACCCAUGAGAAAACAUAAUUCCUAUUCCAUGAGUGCAUAUAGCGACUCACAGAUCCUAAGCACUGUUACAUUUUUAAGACAUGAAAAAAGCAAUAUGGACAAUGGGGUGACUCACAGAUCCUAAACAUUAUUACGUUUCAAGCCAUGAAAAAAAACAAUAUGGACAAUAAGGUGAAUAAACAAUGAGACAAGCUUUGAGACAUGAAUUUGGAAUUUUGCCGAUCUUAACAACAAAUAACAAUUAAGAAAAACCAAGAUGACAUGUAAAUAACUACACAUUAUCAAAUUGUUACACAAUGCUCAACUUUACCAAGUCAGUGGAUUAGACUAAAAGGAAACAACUAAUAAAAAGGCCUAGCACAAUAUCUUGGAUGCAUCAGUAAACCAAAAGGAGGAAAGAAAACUAGGAUGGAAAUCACAUAACCAAGAUAAUUUCAUUAAGCAACAGUCAGCAAUCUCAAGAUAUUAUAGCCUCAUAGACAACUUUAGCGAAAAUCCCAACCAACGAAAGAAAACUAAAUUACAUUACGAUAACAGCGACAAAAUGAAAUUGCGAGAAAGGUAAAGUGUUAGAAAGUUUACCUCUUUUGGAGCAGCAAAAUGACACAACAAGAUAGCGUCAGGAUUUUGAUCACCACCCGAAAGCUUCGCUACUAUUCUGAAAAUAAAUUUUUAACUAAAAUAAAACUUUUGCUUGAUGGUUUUUUCAAAAUGGAGACUUUAUAUAGAAAGGAUUGGAGAGAUCAAAUUCCCUUUUCAUCGAUGUGGGAUAGCUAUUCUAAGGGCAUUUUGAGAAUAAAGAAAAAAAGGAAAAUUUUAAAGUUUGAAAAAGGGAUAAUGGGAUGAGCUGUAAUCGUAUAAAAAUAGUACGACUUUGAAAUGAAUUGGUGUUGAGUUGUCUUUUACAUGUGGAUUUAUUGAGAUUUCGAGUCAAAUUUGGGUUAAUAUCUGGUUUGGUGGGUUGACUAAUUAGAUUUGGGGUCGGAUUCGGAUUUUAAAUCGGGUCGCUAUUUUAGGGGUUUUGUUGCUUGCUGAAAGUUGUUGCUGGAUUGAAGCCGAUGUUGGCAUGGCUGUUGGGUUCGCUGUCGGAGCAGGGUCGCUGGAUUGGUUCACAUAGCAGCUGAUGAAUUCGGGUCGACAGGUCGCUGGAUGACUUUGGGUCGAAGAUGUCUCAUCGUUUUGCCGAAUUGGUCAAUGUUUGUUGGAGUUAGUGUUGGUUGUUGUGUACAUUGAAGUUGUUCAAAUCUUUGUUGUACUAAUGGGGUUAAUAUCUGGUUGGAUUGCAUGUUGGAAUUUGGGUUUGAAAUUGUUCGAGUCGGGUUCGUUAUUUGUGUUGAGAGUCAUUGCUGACUAUUGUAUUGAAAGUUUUUUGUCGUGGUAUGUAUUUGGAUAUAGUGUUUUUGUUGUUCUUGUUUGAUGCAAUUUUUAGAUCGGGUUAAGGGGUUUUAAAGUGGGCUAGUGAGUUAAGGGAAUGGGUAGAUAGGCCUGGGGUUAUUUAAAUUAUAAUCCCAAAUUAGGAUUUAGUCAUUCAUUUAAAAUUUGGUCAAAAUUGAAAUUAAUUGGCCAAUUGCAUUGCAAUUGUAGCUAAUUUAAUUUCAAUUAUGACCAAUUUAAUAGGUUGACUGAAUUAAAUUAAAAUUCAAUACGAAUUAAUACCUUGUUUAAUUCCGAACUUUUUGAUUUAAUAAAAUCAAACACAUUUAUCCAAAUAAAUUAUUUUGAUAAUAAAUUAUAUUAAAAUCAAGAUUUUAAUUAUUAUAUCUAUUUUCAAAGAUAAUCUUUAAUUAAAAUCCGAUAUUUCAUAGAAUAAAUAUUUAAGUAAUCAAAUUAUAUAAUCUUGUAUAAUUGAACAUGAUAAUACAUAAUUGCUACUUAAAAUGACAAAAUUACUUACAAAAUAUUUUGAACAAUUAUUAUUCGAAUGAAAUAAAUAUUUUGAACUUAUUAAAAAUCGAAGAAACUCAGAAUUAAAUUUAGUUGUGGAGGCAAAAAUUAGGUGUCAACAAAUACAUCUAUCACCAAGGCGAAUAAAAAUAAUGGACUAAAAGUCAUUCCCUGGUGCAACCCUAUCAAAAUAGGAAAGUUCUCUGAGUCUCCUCCUACCAUCCUCACAAGAGUUUUUCUCUAUCAUACAUUCUCUGAAUCGACCUAGUGUAUACUACAAGCACACCUCUAACCUCCAUCCACCUCCACAGAACCUCCCUAGGGACCUUGUCGUACACUUUUUCAAAAUUGAUGAACAUGAUGUGCAAGUUCUUUCUUCUUUCCNNNNNNNNNNNNNNNNNNNNNNNNNNNNNNNNNNGAUAGUUGAACGACCUGGAAUGAAAUUGAACUAAUUCUCAUAAAUAGUCACGAUCCUUCUUAACCUCAACUCUACCACCCUUUUCCAAACCUUCAUAGUAUGACUCAACAACUUGAUACUCCUAUAGUUGUUGAAAUUCAGAAUGUCCCCCUUGUGCUUAUAUAAUGAGAUCAUCAUACUUUAUCUCCAUGAUUCGGACAUCUUUGUCAUCUUAAAAAUGAUGUUAAACAACUUUGUCAGCCAUUCCAUAUCUGCUCCGCUAUUGCACUUUCAAAAAUUGCACCAAAAUCUCAUAUGGUCCAAUCGUCCUACCCCUACGCAUCCUACAACUAGAACCCUUGAUCUCUUUAACCUUAAUACACCUACAAUAAUCAUAAUUGUGACACUUAUCUGAGUGCUCCAGGUCCCCAAAACUAGAUCUUUAUCCCCUUGAUCAUUCAAAAGUCUAUGAAAAUAAGACGAUUAACUCCUCCUAGUGAAUGCCAUCUAUCAAUAUUUUGUUAUCCUCUCCCUUACCAUUUGGAGGAGGGUGCAGACUAUGUAUAAAAGUAAUAUUUCAAAAUUAUCUGUCAUUUAGGCGGAUUAAUUAAAUGUUUUUUCAUAAUAUUCUUUAGUUUUUUGUUUUAAUCUUAUUAAUUCCUCUAUAUUUUCAUUAAGAUAUUCUAUAAUUUGUUUUCAUUAAUUUUUCUAUUAAUUGUAUAUUUUUCAUAUCCAUUUUCCAAUAUUCUAAAUAUACGUAAUUUAUCAUGGUUGAUGUGUAGGUUUGGUAUGUAAGUAUUUAUAAGAGUAGUUAGGUAGGUGAGGUAUGUAAUUUAUUCUAGACAUAAAAUUUAUCAAAUAUUUUUUCCAAUAUGAUUUUUCUUAUAUCUACAAUUUCUAUAUCCUUAAGUACAUACAAAACAAGUAUUUUAAAUUUAUCUACCAUUUCGUCAGAUAAAUAAGUAUUCAUUUUUCAUAUGAUGUUUUUUUCAAAAUAUUCCCUUCAAUCAUAUAUAUAACAAAAUAUGAUCAUUUAGAUUACUAUAUACUAGAUUAUUCUUAAAUAACAUGUUCUUCGGUCACUAUUAGCGUGGUAAUCUGGAUAUUUUUCCCUUAAACAGCGCCUCUACUCUGGCUACUCCCCUAUCACUACUUUCUUGCCUCACCGAUUGCACCUUUAGGAUAGCAUAGUUCUUAAGAAUUUUUCUCCAUUUUCACCUUGCUAAAAAACUUCUUAGCAUGCUAUUUUUCGAAUAAUUCUACUAUAAAGCAACUAACAUGAACUUAUUUUAUCAUAUCAUGAUUGUUAGGAAUUUAUGAAUUUAGCUAUUCAUAAUCAUAAAUAAAUAUACCUGUUCUGGUAGGUUUAAUAAUUCUGGGUUUUGUUCAUCCAUAGCUUUUGCUUAGAAAUAUAUCUGCAUUUUAUUAAAUAUUCAAAAAAAAAUUAUUUACAAAAAAGGAGGCUUG